CCUACGGGAGGCUGCAGUGGGGGAUAUUGCACAAUGGGGGAAACCCUGAUGCAGCGACGCCGCGUGGAGGAAGAAGGUUUUCGGAUUGUAAACUCCUGUCGUUAGGGACGAUAAUGACGGUACCUAACAAGAAAGCACCGGCUAACUACGUGCCAGCAGCCGCGGUAAAACGUAGGGUGCAAGCGUUGUCCGGAAUUACUGGGUGUAAAGGGAGCGCAGGCGGACCGGCAAGUUGGAAGUGAAAACUAUGGGCUCAACCCAUAAAUUGCUUUCAAAACUGCUGGCCUUGAGUAGUGCAGAGGUAGGUGGAAUUCCCGGUGUAGCGGUGGAAUGCGUAGAUAUCGGGAGGAACACCAGUGGCGAAGGCGACCUACUGGGCACCAACUGACGCUGAGGCUCGAAAGCAUGGGUAGCAAACAGGAUUAGAUACCCCUGUAGUC
rnacentral:rRNA from 1 species